AGCUCAGUCAGUGGAGCAUGAGACUCUUAAUCUCAGGGUUGUGGGUUCAAGCCUGC
rnacentral:tRNA from 1 species